rnacentral:rRNA from 1 species
UCAGACGAUGCGUCAUGCAUAUCAAUAAGCGGAGGAAAAGAAACUAACAAGGAUUCCCCUAGUAACGGCGAGUGAAGCGGGAAGAGCUCAAAUUUGAAAUCUUAAAGGGUUUCCCUUUACGAAUUGUAGUUUAAAGAAGUGUUUUCUGUUGAGGUUUUGGUAAAAGUUCUUUGGAAUAGGACAUCAUAGAGGGUGAGAAUCCCGUAUUUGACCUUUACUUUCAACUUUGUGAUACACUUUCAAAGAGUCGGAUUGUUUGGGAAUGCAGUCCAAAAUGGGUGGUAAAUUUCAUCUAAAGCUAAAUAUUGGCGAGAGACCGAUAGCGAACAAGUACCGUGAGGGAAAGAUGAAAAGAACUUUGAAAAGAGAGUUAAACAGUACGUGAAAUUGUCAAAAGGGAAGCGUUUGACACCAGUGUUGUUUUUCUGAAAAUCAAUUAAAGAACUGUUUAUGCUAAGCUGUUUAGACUUUAUCAGCUAUCUGUUUAGUUUUGAGCUUUUCUUUAAUGCACUUUUCAGUUAACAAGUCAACAUCAAUUUCUUUUGCUGUAAAAAAGCUUGAGGAAGGUGGCUAGAGAUUCGUCUUAAGUGUUUAUAGCCUCUUGCCUAUGCAGUCGGAGAGAUUGAGGUCCUGCAGCGUAGAUCCUUCGGGGCUAAAUGCAUUUGUGCUAAGUUAUAGCAUUUUAUAGACAACUUGUUGACUAUGAUUUGUCUUGUAGCUUACUCGCUUAUGUUAUUUUACCUACGCUUAGGAUGUUGACACACGCGCGUGCUCG